rnacentral:misc_RNA from 1 species
GUGAAGUGUAAUAGGAGACACAUGUUAGUGAAGACUGAAGUUGUGAUUUUAUUUUUCAUCUCAUACAAAGUAAAGAAGUUGAUAUUACCUUGGUUUGCAUUUUAUGUGUAGAUAUUAUGCCUAGGUUAUAAGACAAUUACUUGUAGACCCACAGUAGGUUCUUUAAUAAUAUGAAAUUUUCUAAGACUUUCAAAAUAAUUUUUUGAAAAAAAAUAAUAGAAAGAGCUGCAAUCAGUAUGAAAUGUUGCUAUUUUAACAGAUAAUAAUGUAGAGGUAAUGAUAAAAUACUAAUACAUGUAUCAUGUACUUGAAUAUCCAGUCGUGUAGCCAGGUUUACUGGAACCAGAGGGUCUCCUGUUGUGAUAUCAUAUUUUUUUCUUGCAAGACUGUGUGUUUAUUGUUGCUGUAAUUUGUUGCCAAUGUACUGAUUAUAAAGCUAAUGUAUGCAAUAUAAUAUUUGUACAAUAAAUUAAUGAAAUCUG